rnacentral:rRNA from 1 species
UACGUAGGUGGCAAGCGUUGUCCGGAUUUACUGGGCGUAAAGCGUGCGCAGGCGGUUUUGUAAGUCAGAUGUGAAAUCCCCGGGCUUAACCUGGGAACUGCGUUUGAAACUACAAGGCUAGAGUGUGGCAGAGGGGGGUGGAAUUCCACGUGUAGCAGUGAAAUGCGUAGAGAUGUGGAGGAACACCGAUGGCGAAGGCAGCCCCCUGGGUUAACACUGACGCUCAGGCACGAAAGCGUGGGGAGCAAACAGG